UCCACUGUAGUAGAGCUGCUAAGGCUUUUCUGAUGUUGACUUGUCUCGGCUGGAUACAGUGGUCAAGUUGCAUUGGGGGGCUGGACCUCUCUAUAGACAUGAGAUGUUGUAGGGUAAAGGUGGGGUUGGGCACCAAUAACUGUUAGGUGAGGACCCAAUGACGACUUUAUUCCUACGGUUAUACGGUGGGUCUGACUUAACUAAGAAAUGGGACCAAUAACUGUUAGGUGAGGUCUUCAUGGCUUAGAGACCAAGUUGCACUGCAACAUGCUUGAGAAGCAUUGUACAAGAGUUGUACACUCAUCCAUCUAUGUGUCACCAAUAACUGUUAGGUGAGGUGGCAUGUAAAUUGGUGGGACCGCAGUACCCACUAGAAACCCUAGUCGUGUGGGAUUUCUGUUUCCCUACCAGGGGAGUGUGAGGAAUUCGAGAAAAUAGUGGGAGUUACAUUUGUUCUAAAAGACCUUAGAACAGAUUAGGAUCAAGUACAAAAGUCUAACUAGAAUCUUUACUCUCUGAGGAUUAUAAAGUCAGCUUCUAGACUCUUAACUCAUAUCCUAUAGAACAAUCGUUUG
rnacentral:lncRNA from 1 species